rnacentral:rRNA from 1 species
GCAUAUCAAUUUAGCGGAGGAAAAGAAACCAACAAGGAUUGCCUCAGUAUCGGCGAGUGAAGCGGCAAAAGCUUAAAUUUGAAAUCUGGCACUAGCCCGAGUUGUAAUUUGUAGAGGAUGCACAUCUUCAGCAAGAGGCUUUGAGUCUAAGUUCCCUGGAACGGGAUAUCAUGGAGGGUGAGAAUCCCGUACAUGGUUCAUUGUCUCUUGCAUCAUGAAGCUCCUUCAACGAGUCGAGUUGUUUGGGAAUGCAGCUCAAAACAGGAGGUAAAUUCCUUCCAAAGCUAAAUAUUAGCCAGAGACCGAUAGCGAACAAGUAGAGUGAUCGAAAGAUGAAAAGCACUUUGGAAAGAGAGUUAAAAAGUAUGUGAAAUUGUUGAAAGGGAAGCGCUUGCAACCAGAUUUUUCACUGUAGGUUAGAUCAUCUAGGCUCUUUGGCCUAGUGUACUCUACCUAUAUUGUGUGCCAGCAUCGGUUUGUUAGUCGAGAGAAAAAGGUAGUGUGUUGUCAAUUCCUCCGGGUAUUUGGCAUGCAUUUACAGGUACAUCUUGAACCCAGACCGAGGACAGCGCUUUUGGCAUGGAUGCUGGUGUAAUGGUUGUAAGCGGCCCGUCU